CAUUAUUUAAAUUUCAGAAAUAUGAAUCAAUUCAAAAUGUAAUUUCAUUUAUUUUAAUACCCCAUCCUAUUUGUAAAAAGCUUAAAAAAUAAUAGUUGUUGCUUUAGAAACGAAUGAAUACCAUUUAAGAGAUAACAAGAAGGAACAUAUUUAAUUUUUAAUAGAAAAUGGCGAAAUUUCACUCGAAUAUUAAACAAUGUUUCAUGUAUAUUUUUUUUUCUAUCAAUGCAACUUUUUAUACGCCUCAAUGCUUUUUGUGGCAUUUCAAAAUGGGUUAAAGUAUUAAAAUGAAUAAAUCCAUUGUCAUUAUGGUUUGAAUUUUUGGCAGUUUGAAAUCUCAUCAACUACAUAUUAUUCUGGACGUACAGUAAUUUUAUAACAGUACUGUAUGGAAGAUGUUGGCAUACUUACAAAUGGUGGCUUCAUUGUCCAUUGCUUUAACCUUUAGCCUGCUGGCGGCAAGUGAUUUUGCCUUUGCGACCAGUGUAGACCAAGAUCAGCCUGCACAUCCGUGCAGUCUGAUCAUGGUCUGCACUGUUCGCUAUUCAGUCAGUAAAUUUUCAGUGAACACCCCUUAAAACAAUAAAUGGUUUUGCCCAAAUUGGAAGAUGGACACAUCCACUUCAGAAAUUUAGCAGGCUAAGGGUUAAACAAAGAGAUAAUAAGACAUAUACAUUUGUACUUAAAAAAAACAACAGAAAACUGAAAAUGACAUGUUUAAUAAUCUACAGAACGUAAAUAGCCGAUUUUAUACUAACGGUACUAUAACAAUACCACAAAUUUAUGUUUUCAAUUACCACCCAUUUAUUUUCUUCCCUUCAUCGCGUGUUUAACAAACACAUCUUUUGAAAUCGCACGAGGAAAAGGGCAAAAACCUCAUUAAAAUAUAUGUACGGCCUACUAUAAUUACGUGACAUGUACCGUGUGCUGACUGCCAAACAACAAUAGCCGGCAGCCAGCGUUUAGAUGUUGUAACGUAAAGGUGUAAACAUAGCCUUUGAGUCAUUGCUGUAAAGAAUUACACGUCAAAUCUAUUGUGGCAAAAUAUUUGCUCUGGCAACAUGGUGUAAUGAAGUUUUGGAUGGAAAAAAAAUAACAAAAAAAAUAUAUAUUUGAAAAUUACACGUAUAUAAGUGCGCUAGAGAAAUGGGAAGGCUUAUGGAAACAACACUGUGUGUAUUGACGUUCGUUAUUAUUUCUAAUGUAAAAGAGACAUCUGCUGGUGAAUGUUGUCGGUCCUAUGUAGAUAACGGUGGUAUAUAUCAUUAUCAGCAAUGGUGCCCCGUGUUCUGUUGUGGAUACGCUACUCUGGGAAUGCUUGAAUGCUGUUCGAACCCAAGACUUCGGGCAUUUGAAGGAAACAGAGAUGGGUUUUGUGCAGCGUGGUUCUCUUACCCCCACAAUAUAUGGGCACCAAUCAUUAUCGGUCUCAUUGUUCUCAUUCUUCUGAUUGCAAGUUGUGUCUGCUGCAUUCGAUGUUGUUUCUUUAUCUAAGGUACUCUACUCAAGACACAACCAGGAAUGCGUUUUUUCGUCUGUGAUAUAUUUCAUUAUUUUAAAAAAUGUAUAUUGAUUAAUAAAUUGUAUCUAUUCUU